GCUGCCGCUGGCGCAGCUUCGACGGCGGGCGUCGCUGCGGCCGGGGCCGGCGUGGCUGCAGCAGCGGGUGCCGGUGCCGGUGCCGGCGCGGCAGCG
rnacentral:tRNA from 1 species